UACGUAGGGCGCAAGCGUUGUCCGGAAUUAUUGGGCGUAAAGAGUUCGUAGGCGGUCUGUUGCGUCCGCUGUGAAAACCCAGGGCUUAACCCUGGGCUUGCAGUGGAUACGGGCAGACUAGAGGCAGGUAGGGGAGAAUGGAAUUCCCGGUGUAGCGGUGAAAUGCGCAGAUAUCGGGAGGAACACCGGUGGCGAAGGCGGUUCUCUGGGCCUGACCUGACGCUGAGGAGCGAAAGCGUGGGGAGCGAACAGG
rnacentral:rRNA from 1 species